AUGCAGAGGCAUUUGUUGCUGGCUAUGAUGCAGGCAGAGUUAAGGUCUGAGGAAGGAGAGGAAGAAGAGCCUGUAUAUAUGGUGGUGGCCAAGGUAUCGUUGGAGGAUGGUGAGGCCAAGAGUCAGGCAGUAACUGACAAUUGCUGGUCAAAUGGCAAUAUCAUCAUGAUAACUAAGCUGGAGUCAUACAGGAUUACAGCCAGGGUACGUAGCGAGUUGCCAUCAGAAGCAGAGCAGUCUGAGACAGAAUUGCAAGAUGAGGUAAGACCCCUUAUGGCAUUUUACAAGAAAUUGAUGCAAAAUUAUAAGGGCUUAAAUACAUUUAUAUGUUUGUUCAUAGUAACAGGGAUCAUAGAUGAGACGGAGAGACAGACAAUGCCCAACAGCAUGGUCACUAGGAAUGAUGACAUUUCAGAAACAGAAGAGGGGGUGAUCUAG
rnacentral:lncRNA from 1 species